UCCUCCCUCUCCUCACGCUCCUUCUCCUUCUCCCUCCCCAUACCAUUCACUGCAGUGCACUCAAAAUUUUCCACAUGUCCUGUGUCACAAGUGCAGAUUGUACAGUGAAAGCAAAAAUCCAGCCGGCUGCCUGGGAUUCUGUUUUUAUUAAUAAUCCAGGGAGAAGGGGGAGACAAGGAAAAGGAAAAGCCGUUUCAGCUCGACUCGAGAUUUAUUUCCUCCUGUCAUUCAAAAUCAGCGGAUCUAAAUAAACACGCCAGCUUUUGCUGAGGACAGCUCUGGACUCCCCCGAUGCCCUGGCAAAGUGGCAAGGGGAAGAAGCUAGGAAAGGAGGACCGAGAGGCAGGAACUCGACGCGACGCCCCCUUUCUUUCGCCCUCCUCUGCGCCCCCCCUCCCUCCGGAAGAAUGUAGUCAGAGAUUUGAUCUUCUCUUGCAGCUGCACGGCCAGCGCCACCAUCAAGAUUUCAUUUUCUCCUUCCAGCCGACUUUACCCCCCGAGAGCCCCCGCUCAGCUAGCACGCAGCCCGGUUUGGCAGAUUUCGGAGGCAUAGGUUCCUCUCUUCCUGGUUCUCAGAUCGCAGAUCCUGCUGCGAGCCCGUGUUAUUGCUGGGAUUUCACGCUCGAGUGGCUCUUGCGUAACCUCGGCCCUGGCCGAAGUUUAAAAAAAACCCCUGGAUUAAUCAUUACAGAAAAGCAAACACACUUCCGCCCCACAGCUUGUCCAGUUAGUAAAAGUAAAUCACGGUUCGGUCUCGUCCCACUUGCUGAUUUCACACGUGUUUAAUCCCCAACCUUUCCCUCCCCUCCCCCAGCCUCUAUGUCCAGGGAUGUCCAGGUUUCUGCAUUCAUUUGCCGGGCCACUAGGAGCUGACACAGCCAGGGAGGGAUCUGCGAGGCCUGAUCCUAUCUAAGGUGCUUAUUAUUUACACCCACUAUAAAGGCGGCCCUUGUGAGUAGUCUAGUCGGCCUCGUUUACAGAGGGGUGAGUGUUUCCAAAAAAGGCCUUUCUCGAAGAAGCUGUCAGCCGAGUGAAUAGCUCAAGGGUGACGGGAGGUUCAGGAGGAGAGAAAGAAAGAAAGAAAGCGCCCUUUAAAAAAAAAAAAAUGUAUUUUUAUUGGUGCUAGUCGGAUAAAACAGUGGCGCCGCGUGGAUAAGUCAGCAGGAGAACACCACCUCUGCAGUGGAGUGGAGGCAGGAUCCAGUGUGUCCAAAAUCGGGAAAGGAUGCUGGGGAACUAGCUGGACGUGUGGACAAUCGGGUUGUGAAAGGGCUUUUCAGAAGGUUUAUUGCUCUACAACAAACAUUAGUCCGUUUCCUCCUCCAAAAACCAAUCUCCACCCCUGUCCCCGGCCCCUCCCCCAGCUCCAGGGGAAACCUUUUGCCCUGAUUCUGGGCCCAAAGCACAGAGGUUUAGUUGAGUGAGUUCUCCCAAGAGCCCCAUGUACGUCCGGUCCGCAGAGAUCUCAAUCUUUCUCCCUAGCCGAAACAACCCACUAGUUGAGUAAAUAGGUUGGAGAAGCGAGUGGAGACUGUAAAUUCAAAAGUGUUUGAAAUUAAGCUUCUGAUGUGGUCCACAGUCAGCUCGAGUGAGGGGUGCCCUAAGAUUCGACUGGCACUUCACUUGGUAUUCCCGGAGACUAAUUUUGUUAAUAAGGUGCACUACUGCUGUUUAAGCUCUGGGAUCCACUCCUUCUCAUUCCUUAAGCAGGAGGUGUUCCUACUUUUUUUGUUCCUGUGCGAAUUAUAUGUUCCUAACCUCCUGAUGUUACGCAUCCCUCCCACCCCUCCCAAACUGAGGCAGCCUCAGACAAUUUAGGUGCAGUGAUGAUAAGUGGUCGUAAUUCCUAAGGAGGGGGGCUUAAUCUAGAGAAAAAAACCGUUUUUUAAAUUAAAAUAUUAUGAGACUACCAUGGAAGUAUGACUUAUCUCCACCUUUUAACAAUGCAUAUAUGAUAUGAUUAUGUCUGCAUAUGUAAGUACAUAUAUGUUCCCAAAGUUAUUACAUAGACACAGACCUGCAUGCACAUAGCCAACAUCACUGUGACAUGAAAUGAGCUUCACGCAAAAAAAAAAAAAAAAAAAUCUU